rnacentral:rRNA from 1 species
UACGUAGGGGGCAAGCGUUAUCCGGAUUUACUGGGUGUAAAGGGGGCGCAGACGGCGAUGCAAGCCAGGAGUGAAAGCCCGGGGCCCAACCCCGGGACUGCUCUCGGAACUGCGUGGCUGGAGUGCAGGAGGGGCAGGCGGAAUUCCUGGUGUAGCGGUGAAAUGCGUAGAUAUCAGGAGGAACACCGGUGGCGAAGGCGGCCUGCUGGACUGCAACUGACGUUGAGGCCCGAAAGCGUGGGGAGCAAACAGG